UACUUUUUAAAAAUCUAGCCCUUAGUAUUUAUUGUGGAUGACGGUCGAGGAGAAUGUACCUUCAGGAUCUAAAGAAAAAAAUGUGAGCAAAACAACUACAGACUUAUGUUCAACUUUAUUUAUGUGACAAAGAACAGACAAUGACAAGAGCAAGACAAAGACAUAAAUUGCAAGGGACAUGAGCCAUAGGGCUUCUGUACAGAUAGUUGUUAUGCCAGGAAUUCAUCAAGCAGGGGGGCAGCUUUCUGGGGACCAUUCCUGCCCUUCCCAUGCGGGCACAGGAUGACGAGAGAAGCCAUCAUCAUGGAGAUUUUCUCACAAAAUAUUCCCCCAUAUUUUUAAUGUGAGAAGACAAUUUUGCCAAUGUAUUCUGUAAUCUACAUGCAAAGGCUGACCCAGCAUGUUUUAGCAAUUUGGUGAAAUUAGGUAAAUAGGAAUCACGGUCUGAGAAAUAGUUUCUUUCUAUGAGCUAGCUGAUAUUAAAUUUCCAUAUUUCCUUCUAGCAUUUUGCUGUUUACCAGGAAGAGCAUUUUGGGUUUACUACCUUAAAGCUGUAGACCCAUAUUUAGUUCCCAAAUCACUGACACACAUACACAAGCAGUGGGUUGAACACAUCUCUGCUGUUAACUCCAAUGAAGUCAAUGAGUUUAAUGGGACAGAUGAUGUGUUUAAAAGAUCAGUAUAAAUGGCAUUUUGAUGCAUGUGUUUUUUAGCACAUAAACAAGUGCUUUCCUGUAAAACCUCUACGACAGAUAUACAUGACACCCAGCAGGGGAAUCAGGUCCAUCUCUUCUCCCCAGCACCAACAAUUUCAUCCCAGGUAGUCUACAGAAUCUCUCCACGGAGGGUAGAUUCCAGCAGGAGUGGAGAAGUGUACAUUUUAUCAACCCCCAAAGGAAUGACAUCAGGAUCUCAAAUGGUUUAUAAAAGAGGUCAGUGUCAUUAUCCCCAUUUGACGGAAGGGGAAAUUGAGGCACACAGCUGACGUGACUUGCCCAAAAUCAACCAACAGGAUUAUGGCAGAACCAGGAAUGAAAGGUAGCUCUUCUGAGUCCCAGUCCAGUGACCUAUCCACUAGACCGCACUGUAAGAGUGGAACCCAGCACCUCCUGCUGCAAGAAAUUAUCUUAUUUUACAGAGAAGAUUAUUUAAAUCCAUUUCCCCUCAAUGUCAACAAAACCAGCCAAGAGCAGCAAUAGAAGCAAUACUCUUUCCAAGAAUUCAGGACAGUAACACAAGCAACAGUCAUGGGAGCACUAAUGGCAAUCAGAGACACCACAUAUGACUAACCCCUGCCAUUCCUGGAUGCGAACCUACAAAACUGGUUCUGACUAGGAACAACCAAGGACCCAUCUAACACAGAACAAAAAACUCUGGCAGGAUUUAAAGGAGCAGCCUCUCAAGAAAAAGCUGGCAGCUGUUCAGGGGAAUCUAGCAGACACAGGAACCAGCCAUGGGUGUCUGAAGUUAUGUCUCCCUUGGUUACCAUCAGUAGAUGGCAAGAUUGAUGUGUGUAUGCUGCUUUAAAACCUUUUUUUCCUUCAGUGCUUUGUUUCUACUGCUAAACAAACAAUACAUUUAU